AUGCAGUCGAGCGGGAACCCAGGAGGGGUAACCCUCCCGAGGGGAGAGCGGCGAACGGGUGAGUAACACGUGGGCAACCUGCCCCGGACACCGGGAUAACCCAGGGAAACCUGAGCUAAUACCGGAUACUCCGGCGUGAUCGCAUGGUCGCGCCGGGAAAGCUCCGACGGUCCGGGAUGGGCCCGCGGCCUAUCAGCUUGUUGGUGGGGUAACGGCCCACCAAGGCGACGACGGGUAGCUGGUCUGAGAGGACGGCCAGCCACACUGGGACUGAGACACGGCCCAGACUCCUACGGGAGGCAGCAGUGGG
rnacentral:rRNA from 1 species